rnacentral:snRNA from 1 species
GUGCUGCUUCGGCAAUACAUAUACUAAAACUGGAAUGAUAAAGAGAAGAUUAGCAUGCCCCCUGGGCAAGGAUGGGACGCAAAUUCCAAAUUCGUGAAGUGUUCCAUAUUUUU